rnacentral:rRNA from 1 species
CGCCAGUCUGCAUGGAGCCGACCUUGAAAUACCACCCUUUAAUGUUUGAUGUUCUAACGUUGACCCGUAAUCCGGGUUGCGGACAGUGUCUGGUGGGUAGUUUGACUGGGGCGGUCUCCUCCUAAAGAGUAACGGAGGAGCACGAAGGUUGGCUAAUCCUGGUCGGACAUCAGGAGGUUAGUGCAAUGGCAUAAGCCAGCUUGACUGCGAGCGUGACGGCGCGAGCAGGUGCGAAAGCAGGUCAUAGUGAUCCGGUGGUUCUGAAUGGAAGGGCCAUCGCUCAACGGAUAAAAGGUACUCCGGGGAUAACAGGCUGAUACCGCCCAAGAGUUCAUAUCGACGGCGGUGUUUGGCACCUCGAUGUCGGCUCAUCACAUCCUGGGGCUGAAGUAGGUCCCAAGGGUAUGGCUGUUCGCCAUUUAAAGUGGUACGCGAGCUGGGUUUAGAACGUCGUGAGACAGUUCGGUCCCUAUCUGCCGUGGGCGCUGGAGAACUGAGGGGGGCUGCUCCUAGUACGAGAGGACCGGAGUGGACGCAUCACUGGUGUUCGGGUUGUCAUGCCAAUGGCACUGCCCGGUAGCUAAAUGCGGAAGAGAUAAGUGCUGAAAG